GAUGAACGCUAGCUACAGGCUUAACACAUGCAAGUCGAACGAGAAGCUAACUUCUGAUUCCUUCGGGAUGAUGAGGUUAGCAGAAAGUGGCGAACGGGUGAGUAACGCGUGGGUAAUCUACCCUGUUUUAGUGGGGGAUAACCCUCCGAAAGGAGGGCUAAUACCGCAUAACAUCUUCCCUUCAUAAGAAGGAGAGAUUAAAGAUGGCCUCUUUAUAUGCUAUCACUUCAGGAUGAGUCCGCGUCCUAUUAGUUAGUUGGUAGGGUAAUGGCCUACCAAGACCACAAUGGGUAGCCGGUCUGAGGGGAUGUACGGCCACACUGGGACUGAGAUACGGCCCAGACUCCUACGGGAGGCAGCAGUGGGGAAUAUUGCGCAAUGGGGGAAACCCUGACGCAGCGACGCCGCGUGGAUGAUG
rnacentral:rRNA from 1 species